rnacentral:lncRNA from 1 species
CCCAUAAAGAGUCUUGCACGAGCGUAGUGGGGUAGGUGUAGACUGAAGAAAUAAAAUAUUCCUUCAAUUGGUGUGGAUCAGUCUCAUAGUGUAGGUCUAUGGUUCUAACUCGGGUUGCUCUAAUAGUUUUUUCGAUUUCUAUAUCUAAGGGCGUAAUUCUGAUUGUAAUGAUCUACGAUCCAGCAUACACCCAUAAUUUUAGAGCAAAUCCUAAUCUAUGUAUUUGAAUUUUUUUUUUUUUACAAANNNNN